rnacentral:pre_miRNA from 1 species
AUAUUACUCCCUCCGUUCGGAAUUACUUGUCUCGGAAAUGGAUGUAUCUAGAUGUUCUAGAUACAUCCAUUUCCGAGACAAGUAAUUCCGAACGGAGGGAGUACAUG